rnacentral:rRNA from 1 species
UACGUAGGGUGCAAGCGUUAAUCGGAAUUAUUGGGCGUAAAGGGUGCGCAGGCGGGAAUACAAGAUAGAUGUGAAAGCCUUAGGCUCAACCUGAGAAUGGCAUAUAUGACUGUAUACCUAGAGUGUAUCAGAGGGAGGUAGAAUUCCAUGUGUAGCAGUGAAAUGCGUAGAGAUGUGGAGGAAUACCGAUGGCGAAGGCAGCCUCCUGGGAUAACACUGACGCUCAUGCACGAAAGCGUGGGGAGCAAACAGG